AUAUCUCUCUGUACGGGAAGGAUGAGAAGCUUCGACUAAGGUUCGAUUCGAGCGUCAGCGAGAAAGCGUUGCCGCAGGCAACGACCCGAAGGGCGAAGCGCGCAGCGCUGAG
rnacentral:sRNA from 1 species